rnacentral:rRNA from 1 species
UGAGGAAUAUUGGUCAAUGGGCGCAAGCCUGAAUCAGCCAUCCCGCGUGCAGGAAGACGGCGCUAUGCGUUGUAAACUGCUUUUCCAGGGGGAGAAACUUGCGCACGUGUUGCGCAAUUGACGGUACCCUGGGCAUAAGCAUCGGCUAACUCCGUGCCAGCAGCCGCGGUAAUACGGAGGAUGCGAGCGUUAUCCGGAUUCAUUGGGUUUAAAGGUUGCGUAGGCGGACUAUUAAGUCAGUGGUGAAAUCCUGCAGCUUAACUGCAGAACUGCCAUUGAUACUGAUAGCCUUGAGUUUGGUUAAGGUAGGCGGAAUGUGUGAUGUUGCGGUGAAAUGUUUAGAUAUUACACAGAACACCAAUUGCGUAGGCAGCUUACUGAGCCGACACUGACGCUGAGGCACGAAAGCGUGGGGAUCGAACAG